UACGAAGGUUGCAAGCGUUGUUCGGAAUUACUGGGCUUAAAGCGUAUGUAGGCGGAUGAGUAAGCGUUUUGUGAAAUCCCUCGGCUUAACCGAGGAAUUGCUUGGCGAACUGCUCAUCUUGAGGCAGAUAGGGGUACAUGGAACUCUUGGUGGAGCGGUGGAAUGCGUAGAUAUCAAGAGGAACGCCAGCGGCGAAAGCGGUGUACUGGAUUUGUCCUGACGCUCAGAUACGAAAGCGUGGGGAGCACACGAGAUUAGAUAGCCCGGUAGUGAACGCCCUAAACGAUGCCUACUAGGUUGUAGGACCUCUGACGGUGUUACGGCCGAAGCAAAAGUGUUAAGUAGGCCGCCUGGGAAGUACGGUCGCAAGGCUA
rnacentral:rRNA from 1 species